rnacentral:rRNA from 1 species
AUUGAACGCUGGCGGCAUGCCUAACACAUGCAAGUCGAACGGCAGCACAGCAGUAGCAAUACUGUGGGUGGCGAGUGGCGGACGGGUGAGGAAUACGUCGGAAUCUGCCCAGUCGUGGGGGAUAACUAGCCGAAAGGUUAGCUAAUACCGCAUACGACCGAGAGGUGAAAGCGGGGGACCGCAAGGCCUCGCGCGAUUGGAUGAGCCGACGUCGGAUUAGCUAGUUGGCGGGGUAAAGGCCCACCAAGGCGACGAUCCGUAGCUGGUCUGAGAGGAUGAUCAGCCACACUGGAACUGAGACACGGUCCAGACUCCUACGGGAGGCAGCAGUGGGGAAUUUUGGACAAUGGGGGCAACCCUGAUCCAGCCAUGCCGCGUGAGUGAAGAAGGCCUCGGUGUAAGCUCUUCGCGGAGAAGUACGCAUGGGCCGAA